rnacentral:rRNA from 1 species
UACGUAGGGUGCAAGCGUUGUCCGGAAUUAUUGGGCGUAAAGAGCUCGUAGGCGGUUUGUUGCGUCGGCUGUGAAGUCCCCGAGGCUCAACCUCGGGUCUGCAGUCGAUACGAGCAAACUAGAGUGUUGCAGGGGAGACUGGAAUUCCUGGUGUAGCGGUGAAAUGCGCAGAUAUCAGGAGGAACACCGGUGGCGAAGGCGGGUCUCUGGGC